UAACCAGCUGCAGUACUUUUUGUGUGGUGUGGAAGUGUUUGUUUUUUGCAAUAGAUUUUUGUUGCAGUUUAGGUUUGUAUUUUCUUUGUUUUGUAGUGCUUAUUAUGAAGGUUCGUAGGUUUAUGUCUGUAGGCCAGGCAGGUCAUUAAACUUAACAAAGAAUAAGUAAGUCGGGAGAGGGGAAUAGAAAUCUCCACAUACAUAUUCUUAAAAGCUGUAACACUCACCACAAAGAUCUGCUGAGUGAAGUCUGUGAGACGAACGCACCAAGUCUGGACGCUCUGUCAGGCUACAUUUUACGUUUUUGGGAGUGAGCAGGUGUUAUUCUGUUCCCCGGGUUGGUUUUGAAGUCAUGGCUCUCAAGUAAUUUUUGUGCUUCUCAAAAGUGCUGGAAUUGCAAAGAUCAACAUCAAAAGCUACAAACUGGAAACAGAGGAAGAUACUAGCCCCGUGUUUCUGAUUCAGUAUCACUGAAAUACUUUGGAACCAUAUAAAGGGCAAAGUACAUUCCACAUGUUGAAGGACAGUGCCUGGCCCUGUGGGGUGUCAUCCCCAAGCUGUAGGCAUAGUGGCAACCCAGGGGUUCAUCUCAACUCCCAUCAGAGUUCAAACAUUGAAUUAGUUGUGCAAUGGAAGGAGUAUUACCAGGACCCAGAUGCAGCCCAAGGAAAAAAGAAAACAAAAGGAGACACACACAGUAAGUGGUGUCUCAUUGUGAUUUGGAUUUGCAUUUCCCUAGUGAUUAGUGAUGGGAAACAUAUUUUCAUGUGUUAUUGGUCAUUUGUUUAUCUUCUUUGGAGAAAUAUUUAUUCAAGUCCUCUGCUCUCUUUUUUUUUUUUUUUUUUAGUCAGAGUCUCGCUGUAUUAGUCUGCUCUCACACUGCUCAUAAAGACAUACCUGAAGCCUCUUUCAUGCUCUGAGCAGAACUGCAUUGCAUACAAUCAAUCACCUACACUCACAGGCAAGAAUGUACUACUAUUGUAAUAAUGUAAAUUUUUCUAAAAUCACAAAAUGGAAAAUGCAUCUUAUUUGCUUUUAACGUUUUAGCAGAUGAUGUGGUCAAGUAAAUAAAUAAAAGGAGAGAAAGAGAAGUUCUGUGUGUGUGUGUGUGUGUGUGUGUGUGUGUGUGUGUGUGUGUCUGUCUGUCUAAGAUCCUUUUGUUGUUUGCUUUGGCCUAGUUUCUUAUGCUUUGAGGAAAAGCUCAUUCUCAUUCAUGUGACUUGCUUUGGCUAAUAGGACACCAGAGCAUGAUGCAAGUGUGGCUUAAUCGGUGCUUGCACAUUGGGCUUGUUCUUUCCAAACCUGUUGCCCCGAUUCUGCAAGGCUAUCCUGCUGUAGAAGGAGGCCCUGGAGGACAAGACACCAUGUGGGGAAAACAGCCAUGGGGAGCAGAACCGAGGUAUCCCAGCUUAGCUCCCAACUGACAGCAGCCACAUGAGUGAGCAGAAAAACAACUUCCAAGGGUGAUUUAGCUACUGCUGCUGUGGAAUGUCAAAACUUUCAGCAAGGGAGCCCGAUGCAGAUCUGUUGAUAUGACACCAUUCCACAAGAAGACCAACUGAUGGCUUUGUGGCAAGUUGACUACACUGGGCUGUUUCUAUUCUGGGAAGACAGAGAUUUGUUCUAAGAGGAAUAGGCAUGUGUUGCAGGCAUAGGUUGACCUUUCCUGCCAUGGAGCCUCCUCUGGUACCACUAUUUGAAGGUUGAAGGAAUGUUGAUUCACCAGGAUUGAGUCAGACCAGCCAAGCCUAUGACCAUGAUGUCAACUGACUGUAUCACCUGUCACAUCAUCCAGAAGCUACAGACUUAUAAGGCAUUGGAAUAACUUGUAGAUGGCCCCGUUAAAGUACCAGCUUAGAGGCAACACUCCAUGAGAAUGAGACAUCAUCUCCAGGAUGGCACAUACACAUUGAAUCACACAGCAUUGAUAAGGAGAUGGCUCCCCAGUAGGAAGAAUAUAUUGGUCAUGAACCAAGGGAUGAAGCAGAAGUGUCUUGCUUCCUGUCCCUGCAGCCUCUCUUUCUGCAGUGCUAGAAAUCCUGGUCAAAAGGGGGCAUAAUUUUAUCAGGGGACACAGCAAAAGUCUCCACUACAUUGCAGCUAUGCCUGCUGCCUGGGGAUUUUGGGCUUCUUAUAAUUGGGACCAGCAAUAAAAGAGAAGAGUCACAGUCUUGGCAGGGCUAAUUGACCCUGAUCAGCAGGAGAAGAAAGGCUGUGGUUCCACUAUGAGGGUAGGGAAGACGUGUGGCACCACUGAUCCACUUUUGCAACCCAUGGUACUCCCGUGGCCAGUUGUGAUGACAGACAAGUGCAGGAACACUUUUGGGAAGGGCAUGGUGGCCAGAGUUCAGACCCCAUGGGAAUGAGGACCAGGGUCACACCACUGGAUAAGCCAGGAGGAAGAGAGGCCCACUGGAAGGCUGGAGGAGCUGCUCCCCAGAUGUAGAUGAAGUAGAUUUGAGCAGCACAGUGGUGGACCUAGUAGAGGCGGACAUCAAGAUCCUCUUCAAGGAAAGAUUAUCAAUAUAGUUUUCCCUGACCCAGAUUCUUCCCUUGACAUCACACCAGGAAAGUCUGACAACUUAACUUUAUUGGAUAUAGGCAACCGUUGAAUCCAAGUUUUGCCCACUGAAUCCAUCAAAUUGUUACAGCCAAUUCUAGAUGCCUGAGUGGACACAUGAAAUCCAGAUUCCCCAGUAAGCGCAUCCCCAUUAAUAAACUGACCAAAUGCAAUGUUAAUCUGUUCUAUAACCUUUAGAAUCCAUCCCAACAUAUAUUUUUUAGGUUCCUGCCAAGAUAUGUUAGCAAAAGCUUGCAAUUUUUUGAAAAAUGAAUUAUCUCUUCCUGGGACAUGUGUUGUACUUUUCUCUCUGAAAUAGGCUGAGCUCUGACUCCAUUAAAAGUCUGAAAGCAAUGAAGAGUGAAGGAGCGGAUAUUGGGGAGAAUAGGCAUCCUCUUGCAAGAUAACUGCCUCAAAGUCAUUAUAAGGUUUUCAAGCAAGAGAAAGCUAAUUUCCUUACACAUAUGAAGAAGCGUUGCUUCUCCUGGCAAGAAAUACACAGUGAAUCAGGGAUUCAAAAUUCUUAGCUUUAUCUAAGUUUACCCAGAUGUGUCUAUCCUUCCCAAUCAGUGCUCUUGGCAGGAGACUUGGCAAGUCUGCGAAGUCAACUUAUGUUAUAAUUCUGCAACCCACACAAGUUCUUAUUUUCAAUGAGGGUAACCUUGCAGCCACACAAAAUAGCAAAAUUUUUUAAGGAGUACCAUAGACACACUCUGGUUCUCUGUGUUCAGUGUUUUAAGCCUAUCUUUUUGUUCCCCUGUAAGCUCUUCAAUGUAGUCCAAAAUACACCAUCUGUGGUAGGCAGAAUUCUAAGAAGGUUCCAAAGAUUCUCACCCAUGGUGUAGAGAACUUGUAUAAUUUUCUCCCCUAAAGUGUAGGUGGAGCCCGUGAAUAGGAUGGGAUAUUAAUACCAUGAUUGUGUUAUAUUUUGAGACAAAAAAAAUUUUGUAGAUGUAAUUAAAGGUACUAAUCAGUUGACUAUGAGUUUAUCAAAAGGGAGAUCAUCCAGGUGGGCCUGACCUAAUCAUAUCAGCCCUCUAAAUCCUGGUCUAUGGGUCAGAGAAAGAGGAAGGCAGAGAUUUAAAGCAUGAGAGAAAUUCAAAGCAAACUAGAUUCUCCAUUGCUGUCUUUGAAGACAGGCAGCCAUGUGGCAAGGAAUGUGGGUAGCCGAUAGUGGCCGAUGACAGCUCCCAGCCCACACUUCAAGUUUAGCCUCGUAGGGCCCUGAGCAGGGGACACAACUAUACUGCAUUUACAAC
rnacentral:lncRNA from 10 species